AGAUGGUCCAACAUGAUACAAUGC
rnacentral:siRNA from 1 species